GACAGAAAAAAAAUAGGAGAGAAAAAAAACCCGAGAGAAGCAAAAGUAACUUUCGAAGGUUUAGUGGAAGCCCUACCCAAUGGAAUGUUCCGUGUUCGGCUAGAGAAUGACACCAUCAUCCUAGGCUAUAUUUCAGGAAAGAUACGGUCUAGUUCUAUACGAAUACUGAUGGGGGAUAGGGUCAAAAUUGAAGUAAGUCGUUAUGAUUCAAGCAAGGGAUGUAUAAUUUAUAGACUUCCCCAUAAGGAUUCGAAGUGUAUCGAAGACUCGAAGGAUAGCGAAGAUUUGAAGGAUAGUGAAGAUUUGAAGGAUACCAAAGAUUCAAAGGAUUAG
rnacentral:rRNA from 1 species